GAGACGGAAGCUGUGACGAGGGAGUCAAAGUGUCAAGCACUUCAGCCGAAUUCUCGUCUCGCCAUCAGUAGAAAACCACCGCGGUUGCCAGACAUCGUACGGUCCACUGUGUACAAUAACCCAGGUGUGCCUGAACUUUAAGAUAACAGCAGUGACUUUUUCUUUUCUGUUUCUUGCUCCUUUUUUUUUUUUUUUUUUUUUUUUGUGGAAACAAAAAAGUAUCAGUGUUCAGGCGAAAGAAAACUUGUUUAUAGAAGUUGCGAUUACCAAACAAUACUCAUCAACGGAUUUGUCAGAGUAUAUAGAGUUGAAGCGUUUUAGGCUAUAAUUUGUUACUGACAUCGCAAGGUUUCUAUUGUGUUUGAUAUUGUUUUUCGGAUUUUAUUGUAUUUUCUUCUUUCGUUCGAUCCAUCAGUGUUACUAAUCGUGUUGCUAAUGUUUGGAAACAAUUUUACUUGUAAAAAUAGGAAAGAUUUCUAUACCUUUUUAUUGCCAAUGAAGUUUGCUAUAUCAGUAUUUUAUUGAGUUCUAUGAACAACAAAAAAAAAAAAACCUGCACUACAGUAUUCCUGGCUGAAGGCCGGAUACAACAUGCCUCAUGCAUCGUCUGCCCUUCAGUGUUACUGACUGACACUAGCAAGACCCUCUUCUUUGUGUUAGCUUAUGCUAGCGCGUCAUGCUAGCGAGCAUCAUAACUGUUCUAUUUUGUUUCUGUUUGACUGUUAAGGCCUUAAGAGAAGAGCAGUAUUCUUGGGGUUGUGGGGGGAUGGGUUUGUGGGGGUGGGGAGAGGGGUAAGUGGCUGGGAUAGGGGGAUAAUGAGGUCACUUCUGUAUGCCAUAACCAAAUUUUUGUCCUUUCAGGGAAGGUAGAAUCACAACCUUUAAAAGCCAGCAUCAGGCAACCGAAUUGUUAUUUUGCAACCCAGUGAAUCUGAAUGGGGCUAAAGCCUUUUAUACCUCUUCAAGGUAUAAAUAUAUAUACAUAUAUGUAUUCUCCCUCUACACCUACUUGGCUUCGCAAAGGGUUAUACACGUAGCUAUUUAAACAGAGUUCUUCUUUUUUUGGUUUUACUUUGAGUCCUUGUCCGGUUAUUCAUGUGUAAGCGUAAUUUUUGAUUCCCGACCCCACAAUGCCUCCAGCCUUAUGCAAGACCUGUGUGCUGUUAAAAGUGCCAUUUUAAAAGUGUUAUCAUUUGUACAAUGUAGCCAGUAUUAUGUCCUCUGUUACUCGAGUCCCAUAUUGACUAAUGUUUGUUGUUGACUUGCAUGGAGGACGCACACCUGAAGUCCAUGUUUUCAUCUUAGCAGUGUUAGAAAUGUACGGCCUCUGGAAGUUAGGGCACUUUUUUUAAUUAAAGUUGGGGGGGGUUACAGAGUACUGUACAUCACAUGUUGUGUUAUUUACAGUUAUAAAGUGAUGUGAUAGUUCUCAGUUAGAGGCCUAGUUCUCCUUUAUUUAGUGGCUUGUAUAGUAGUUGGGUAGAAUUACACAUCUAACAGCAGCCUGAGGUGGUUUCUGAAACCCUUUCAAAAGCCUGUCGCUGACACAUUUGCCAUUUGUCUCUCUAACCAUGAACUAAUUACGUUUGAUUUAACAUUAACAUAGUAAGUUGGCUUGAUAUAACCUUUAGUACCAAAAGUACUGUUACAAUUACUAAUGAGAUAAGAGGUAGUUAACACACGAUCCAAACUUUGGAGAACCUUCAAUGAGGUGAGAUGAAAGCAGCCAAUUAAAGACUAAAUCAGAUAUAAAUAACGAUUAGAGAGACUGUGGGUUCAUACCUUCACAUGACCCCCACCACCCCCCCUCCCCUGGACAAGUAUGGUGGUGUUCACCAUCUCUAAUGUGGCCUGCAAUCUGCAUGAGAAAUCGACCCGGUAUCGGCAGUAUUUGAUUACUAUAUCUCCAUGAGGAUCGAACACUUCAUAAGCAUGUUCGUAAAGCGAGUGCCGUUGGAGUGCACGAUUUUUAUUAUUUUUUGUAUGAAAACAGAAACAGACAGGAAAUGGCAAGUUGUCCUGCACUUCAGGUAACAAACGUUAGUAAAUGUGGUCCCUUUUUGUUCAUUUUCAGGUUUGUCUAUUUUUUUCUGUGUAUGCGAUUUUUUUUUUUGUUUUUACCGAACAGUGUUCUUAAGUUCUGUGUUCUUAGGAUGAAGUAAUUGUCUAGGUGUGUUCCUGUGUUUUAUGUUCGUCUUUGUUUUUGACGAUGGCAGUAUUAGAGCCCUUUUCACUGAUGAAGUACCUGUUUAGUUACUAAAGGACUUUUUUAUAUUUAUGUGUCUUAUUUUUAUAUUUUCUUUUAUGGUUAUUUAUUACACAUUGUAGUGUACAAUACUGUAGUUUGAUUGAUACAAUAAUAUAUUUUACUAUGAAAAAUAAUCUGAAGAAAGCAAACCGAAAAAAAACAAAAACAAAUCCCAAAAUUGUUGUUCUGGGGGGACUAACGUUUGUUACAAUCCAACAAAAUGUAUUAUGUAAGCAUACCUUGUUUUAAGCUAUAAAAAAAAUAAAGAAAAUGACGAAGACGAAGAACGAAGUAAAGCCACGGGAAUGAAGAUGUGUUACAUGUGCAUCCGCUUGCUGGCCCUGUCCGGGUCCGAUCCUCGCAUUGUUACAAAGCUACUGAAUCCUACAGCUCUGUGAUUUGACUAACGCAUGAGUCCUUGCCGUUGUUAUGAAGGGUGUUGUGCUGAACAUGUAUGUUACCUGUUGCUCCCACUUGUUUUUAUCAAAGCCAAAUUUAGAUUAACCCCCUUUCCCAACUCACCUUUUUUUAAAUGUCCCUGCUCUGUGCCAACUUUGUUCCAUUGUUAACGUUUUGGUCAAAGGCUACAUUUACGUUUUGCCCUAAAGAAACUUUGUACACUCACUGUCUUUUUUUUGUAUUGUUUAUUUUUGGGCUGUUUUUUUAUCACUCCCAUCACAAUAAAAUAUUAGAAAGCAGUUCUGAGACGUUUUUUUUCCUCCAUGUCGGAUUUUACAUGGCGUUAUCGGGGAUACCCGAUUGCAGUAGUAGAGGAAGAGACUGGCCUAAUACCGCUAACUAAUAUACCAUUACAUCUUUCCUGGUAUGUCGCAAUGGGGAGCGAAUCUAGCAACUACGCCAUCUAGUGGUAGCUUUCCG
ensembl:lncRNA